rnacentral:rRNA from 1 species
GACGAACGCUGGCGGCAUGCCUUACACAUGCAAGUCGAACGGUAACAGGUCUUCGGAUGCUGACGAGUGGCGAACGGGUGAGUAAUACAUCGGAACGUGCCCGAUCGUGGGGGAUAACGCAGCGAAAGCUGUGCUAAUACCGCAUACGAUCUACGGAUGAAAGCGGGGGAUCGCAAGACCUCGCGCGGACGGAGCGGCCGAUGGCAGAUUAGGUAGUUGGUGGGAUAAAAGCUUACCAAGCCGACGAUCUGUAGCUGGUCUGAGAGGACGACCAGCCACACUGGGACUGAGACACGGCCCAGACUCCUACGGGAGGCAGCAGUGGGGAAUUUUGGACAAUGGGGGAAACCCUGAUCCAGCCAUGCCGCGUGCAGGAUGAAGGCCUCGGUUGUAAC